UGGGCUGCAUCAGUCAUGCCAU
rnacentral:miRNA from 1 species